UGAAAUGCAUGGAUAGGGAAGAGUACAGGCAUACCGCGCCUAAAGAGAGGGAAAUCAUCUGCUGAAAGAUUUCUCAGGAUUGCGGAACUGGAAGGUCGCCCUUGAGCAGUUUUUCUGAAUUAUUAAGUAGGGAAAGCCGGCGCAGGCCGUUAAUUCGUCUAAGAGCAUGGGAGCAGGCUUUAUUUUCCCAUGAAAAAAGGUGGUACCGCGAAAUCAGCUCCUUUCGUCCUUUUG
rnacentral:ncRNA from 1 species